rnacentral:rRNA from 1 species
AACGAACGCUGGCGGCAUGCCUAACACAUGCCAGUCGAACGAGACCUUCGGGUCUAGUGGCGCACGGGUGCGUAACGCGUGGGAACCUGCCCUUAGGUUCGGAAUAACUCCCCGAAAGGGGUGCUAAUACCGGAUAAUGUCUUCGGACCAAAGAUUUAUCGCCUUUGGCUGGGGCCGCGUUGGAUUAGUUAGUUGGUAGGGUAAAAGCCUGCCAAGGCGACGAUCCAGAGCUGGUCUGAGAGGAUGAUCAGCCACACUGGGACUGAGACACGGCCCAGACUCCUACGGGAGGGAGCAGAGGGGAAUAUUGGACAAUGGGCGAAAGCCUGAUCCAGCCAUGCCGCGUGAGUGAUGAAGGCCUUAGGGUUGUAAAGCUCUUUUACCCGGGAUGAUAAUGACAGUACCGGGAGAAUAAGCUCCGGCUAACUCCGUG